rnacentral:lncRNA from 1 species
UUGGCAUUUGUUUGGGAUAAGAGGCAAAACUCAACACACUCGUUAUUCUCAUAAAAUCUCGAACCACCUGUCACCUGACUCGGAGCAACGAACCACACAGAAGGAGGGCGAGGAGCCGGUAGCAGGAGUCCUCCUGCCGCUUGUGAGGUCCUAUAAAGUAAUUAUCCGCUCCUGGUGGAAUAUUCAGCAGUUUUUUUACAUAUGUGGACGCCACGGACCUCCUUCACCCCUACAACAUCACGUUAGAGGUGGCACAACUCGCCCCUAUCUAGCACCAUCUUCAGCUAUCCGAUCAAGAGUAACUUCGUGUAUUCACCCCCACACGAGGACUCCACUUAAGGUCUACCAACCCAAGUUCUGCAGACUCCCUCCCAGGUUUGUAAGGAACAAAGGGACAGCAUAGAGGAGUAUUGAAUCAUCAGCAUCCACUCAAAGCAAAAUUAUGACGCUGGUCUACUGAAUGCCACGGACUUGCAAAAAUCCAGAAGGAAUUUCAGUCACCAGUGGCAACAAGACCAACGAAACUAAGACAGCAGAGGAAGAAGCAAAGACAGGAGGGCCUUCAGUACCACAUAGCAUGGGCAACUUGAAGAUUGUGAGAGUGGACAAAGGAGCAAGGAGCCAAGAUUGCCCAAGAUGAGAGCCGAGACCAAAAAAGAAUAUGUUGAGAAGCUAACAGGAGUCACUGAGGCAUGGUUCCUUGUGUUUCCUGGCCAUUUUCCAGCUGAACAUACAACUGACAAAGGAUCCUGAUUUGAAAGCCAAGAACAUGACAAGGAAACCAGAAAACAUCAAGCUAUUUGAAAACAAGACUUUCAGAAUGGAAGACCAAUAAAAUUUAAUACACAAGUAUAAAGGCUCCUAUUUUAAAGGAGAUUAAAUUGAAAAAUAAUAUGCAACCUUGUUUUUCCUAGCAACUGAUUUUAAAUGGUAGGUUGUCUAAUAAUUACGGUCCAUGCACACAUACCUGGAA